AACGAACGCUGGCGGCAUGCCUAACACAUGCAAGUCGAACGAGACCUUCGGGUCUAGUGGCGCACGGGUGCGUAACGCGUGGGAACCUGCCCUUAGGUUCGGAAUAACUCCCCGAAAGGGGUGCUAAUACCGGAUAAUGUCUUCGGACCAAAGAUUUAUCGCCUUUGGAUGGGCCCGCGUUGGAUUAGCUAGUUGGUAGGGUAAAAGCCUACCAAGGCGACGAUCCAUAGCUGGUCUGAGAGGAUGAUCAGCCACACUGGGACUGAGACACGGCCCAGACUCCUACGAGAGGCAGCAGUGGGGAAUAUUGGACAGUGGGCGAAAGCCUGAUCCAGCAAGGCCGCGAGAGUGAUGAAGGCCUUAGGGUUGUAAAGCUCUUUUACCCGGGAUGAUAAUGACAGUACCGGGAGAAUAAGCUCCGGCUAACUCCGU
rnacentral:rRNA from 1 species